rnacentral:lncRNA from 1 species
AAGAAGGAGAAAGGGUUAGGAGGAAGAAGAUGGGGAAGAAGGGAGAUCAUUCAUGGGUAGGCUUAAAGGAGGAGGAAGAUGAUGAGAAGAAGUGGGUAAAGAGAAAGGAGAGGAAGAAGAAAGAGGGGUUAAACGGAGAUAGAGGAGGAGGAGAUGGGUGGGCUUGGAGGAGGAGGAGGAGAAGUGGGAGAGAAGAAAGGGAAGGAGGGG